rfam:Actinobacteria bacterium 69-20 SCNpilot_cont_1000_bf_scaffold_51, whole genome shotgun sequence.
UAGCGAUGCCCCGCGCACCUCGCCCGGGGUGGUACAAGGCCAGCGAAGACCGGUGAGAUUCCGGCGCUGUCCCGCAACGGUAAUGCCCCGAAGUUCUGGGGCGAGCCCGGACGCCUGACUUGUGCCGCUAAACCAG